rnacentral:rRNA from 1 species
CAGCCGUAAACUAUGCGCGUUAGGUGUAUCGGUGACCACGAGUUACCGAGGUGCCGAAGGGAAACCGUGAAACGUGCCGCCUGGGAAGUACGGUCGCAAGGCUGAAACUUAAAGGAAUUGGCGGGGGAGCACCACGAACCAGGUGGAGCCUGCGGUUUAAUUGGACUCAACGCCGGGAAGCUCACCGGAUAGGACAGCGGAAUGAUUGCCGGGCUGAAGACUCUGCAUGACUAGCUGAGAGGUGGUGCAU